AACGAACGCUGGCGGCAGGCCUAACACAUGCAAGUCGAACGAGGUAGCAAUACCUAGUGGCGCACGGGUGAGAAACGCGUGGGAAUCUCCCUUCUAGUACGGGAUAACACCGGGAAACUGGUGCUAAUACCGUAUGACCCCUCCGGGGGAAAGAUUUAUCGCUAGAAGAUGAGCCCGCGUAAGAUUAGCUAGUUGGUGAGGUAACGGCUCACCAAGGCUACGAUCUUUAGCUGGUCUUAGAGGACGAUCAGCCACACUGGAACUGAGACACGGUCCAGACUCCUACGGGAGGCAGCAGUGGGGAAUCUUGGACAAUGGGGGAAACCCUGAUCCAGCCAUGCCGCGUGAGUGAUGAAGGCCUUCGGGUUGUAAAGCUCUUUUGUGUGGGAAGAUAAUGACUGUACCACAAGAAUAAGCCCCGGCUAACUUCGUGCCAGCAGCCGCGGUAA
rnacentral:rRNA from 1 species